UACGGAGGGUGCAAGCGUUAAUCGGAAUUACUGGGCGUAAAUCGCACGCAGGCGGUCUGUCAAGUCGGAUGUGAAAUCCCCGGGCUCAACCUGGGAACUGCAUCCGAAACUGGCAGGCUUGAGUCUCGUAGAGGGGGGUAGAAUUCCAGGUGUAGCGGUGAAAUGCGUAGAGAUCUGGAGGAAUACCGGUGGCGAAGGCGGCCCCCUGGACGAAGACUGACGCUCAGGUGCGAAAGCGUGGGGAGCAAACAGG
rnacentral:rRNA from 1 species